GACGAACGCUGGCGGCGUGCUUAACACAUGCAAGUCGAACGGAAAGGCCCUGCUUUUGUGGGGUGCUCGAGUGGCGAACGGGUGAGUAACACGUGAGUAACCUGCCCUUGACUUUGGGAUAACUUCAGGAAACUGGGGCUAAUACCGGAUAGGAGCUCCUGCUGCAUGGUGGGGGUUGGAAAGUUUCGGCGGUUGGGGAUGGACUCGCGGCUUAUCAGCUUGUUGGUGGGGUAGUGGCUUACCAAGGCUUUGACGGGUAGCCGGCCUGAGAGGGUGACCGGCGAUGGGGGGAUGGGGGAGCGACGCAGGGUGGGGCGGGAGGCGAGGGGGGGAAAGAGCGAAGGCUGGGGGGGAGCCGGGGGCGAGAGGGCUGGGGGCGGGAGGAAGGCCUUGGGGGGGAAGCCCGCUGCCGUGUGUGACGGGGGUUGAGUGGCGGUAGGGGAUAAAGAAGGACAGGCGAACAAGGGGCAAGCAGCGGAGGUGAUAAGCGAAAGAGCACGUGCCUGAGC
rnacentral:rRNA from 1 species